rnacentral:lncRNA from 1 species
UAACCGUGACAAUAAUUCUAUCUACGGUAACGGUUGGAUAAAAAAUUUUUGCCAUCUCAACGGUCAUUAAUUCCCAAAGGAAUUUUUCACCCAAUUUUUCUACAUCCGCUAAAACUACAGGGGCCCAAAAUCUGAUUUUAUAUUUUAGUUUUUAGUUUUUAUAUCUAAUAAAAUACUCUAAACCCCAAAUUUUAGUACAAGCCCCACUCACAAAAUUAAGACCGACCCUUCGAUAUUCUCUUCCAAACCUACACCUCUGUUGGUUCUUCCAGAAAUUACUAGGAGAUUAAACAACCAUCCAUCACUGGCGGCAGCGGCGUCGGCGUGCUAAUCCUUUAGGGUUUCUCCAAAUCUUGUUAGAGUUUAUGGUCAGAGAAUCGAAAGACAAGUUGGAAAUCGAAGAGCUCUCAUUCUUUCUUGUUAAACUUAUGAAUUUCUUCCUUCCUUAAAGUGGUGAGUAUUUUCUACUGAAGCUUCGAAUCUACGUUAGAGAUCUAUUACCGUCUUUCUUGUUCAAGUUUUUACUUAGUCUUUCUCUUUGCUCUUGCUGUCAUUAAGAUGUUGAUGUCUGCUAAAUAUGACAAACAAUGUUGAUGUCUGUCACUCGUUUAUGAAAGAUUGUGAGUUCCCUUUGAAUUAGUUUCCAUUUCUUCAUAGCCCCAUUUUUCUUUUCCUUGGUUUAGGUUUCUUGAGUUAAUUGCAUUUUUGUUAAAGAUUACAUUUUGGAGUUUUCUUGAUUUAUGGGGUGUCUAUCUGUCAUUUUGUUCGGUGGAGUGAAAAUCCCUUCUUCCGUUUUAGAAACUAAAACGAUGGUUCAUCGAUUAGGUUGUCGGUGGUCAAAAGUAGAAAAGAGGUUUUAGCUAAGCUCACAUUUCUUGGAUCUUUCUAUUUUAGUAGUUUUCAGUUAUAAAAGUUAUAGCGAGCUAAUGGCUCUGGAGGCUCAGCUAAAACGUUCAAUGUGACUCAAUUGAAGACUUUGUAUGAAGGAGCCAAUAGUCUAUCUAAUUAAUGUAUAAGCAUAUGUUUACGAUUUGCUGACCUGCUGACACUUCUAAUGACUAUCGAAGAUGGUCUGACCAAUUAAUUUAGCAUUGAGACAGUCGUAAAUCUUAUCUUUUUCCCUUAUUUGUCAUAGUCUGUCAUUGAGAGGCCAGAGGGAGUGAACUUUGUUGAGAUAUAGUUUCUAUGUUACCUCAUCGUAAGUUUUCUUAAACUCUUUCUAAUAUAAAUUUAGGAUAAUCAAAUUAUAAAAAUUUCAGUUUUACUAUUCCUUGUUACCUGAUUCAAUUGAUUUUAUUUUUAUUUUUGAGAUUAUUUGAGCGAUGUAGUGUGAUUGAAUGGAGAUUCAACACACUGGUGCAUGUCUUCUGAUUGUGCUUGAAAUUGUGAUUUCUACGACCUCAAUUAUUUUUUAUGUGAAGCUCUAUGUCGCUUGCAGGUUAACUAAAAUCUGAUUGAAAUAACUAAGCUACGACCAUAGGGAACUUCUAUGUUUCUUAGACAGCCACCUUCCUACUGAAGUGACCAACUUGAGGUUUACUUGAUAAGUAUGUUAGGAAAGUUCAUCUUACUUUUAGAUUCAAGCAUUAAAUUGUAAUAGUUAGUUCAAAUGCUGGAAACAUUAUCUUUAGGUCAAUACAUGUCAAACUGUCAUACUUGAACUUUGAAUCUAUAUGUUUAUUAAUCAUAUGUCAUCUAAGUAACUGAUAGACAUAAGAGCUCAUGCCUAUAUGACCUAAAAUAUUUAGAAGGAUGUUUAGUUGUUGAUAAUGUGUGUUGUUGUGUGAUCUGUUUUUUGCGAUCCUCAUACCUUCUUGGGAAAUAGCUUACUGUCAAAAUGAACUUGAUCCCAUAUGUGUAAUACCUGGCCAAAUAAAAUGCCUACUUAACCCUUCAAAUUAAAUAUGUGAAACUCAUUCUCUCUUUUUUGUACAUAUUUUAACAUAUAAACAAGUUUGAGCCUAAGUUAUUGGGUUUAUAUGAAUAUGUAACUAAAGCACUGCAUUUGCCUUUAGUAGUGGAUGAUGAGGAUAUUAAAAACAAAAGUAAUAGGCUUUUGGUAAAGCUGAAACAUUGUUGGGAUCAUGAAUAGAUAAGCUAAUGUUUCUUAUUUUGAGUCCAAAACAGCUUCUACAAUUGAGGAACAAUGUUGUCUCCGACUGUUGCUAGGAAGCAAUGAACUUAUUGAUAGAAGUUAUCCUUCACUCAUUUAUCUUUGCUUGCUAUAUUUUACAUUUCCAUUUAGUAUUGUUUUGCCCCCCAAGCAUAUACAAAAUACCAAGAGAUAUUCAUUUGUUUCCUUACCUUAAUAUUCUGUUCUUAACUUACGAAUGCUAUCUGGCUCUCUUUUUUUUGGUCUUCUUGUGUAUACAUGUAUGUUCAUAUUCUUUUUCAGGUUGUAGGCCUGACAACUGUAGCUUAAUAUUUUGACCUCCCGUUGAUAAGCAAUUUUUGUUUUUGAUGGUGUGCUAUGCAUGAGCUCAUGUUGUGCUCUAAACAAAACAUAUUGAUAUAUUUGUCAAUAAAUAAACAAAUGCUUAUGGAUUUCCUUUUUGCUGUAUAAUUUAUCUUACAAUGCUACUGGUUUGGUAAUAGUAUCCUUCUUCAUCUUCCUGAUUUAGUUUAAUAUGCCUUCUCUUUCAAUAUGAUUAUCUUUCGGUCAUCUAUUACACGUAAUUUAUAUAAGAUUUGCAUGGUCGACUGACCUAAUUUCAGUUUAGAAGUAAAUGUAAAUUGUUUUGCAGCUGAGGAAGUUUCAUAUUUCAUGUACAUGUAGAUCUCUGUAGUUGAGUCCAUAUCUCUCUGUGUAAUCUCCUCCAUUUUUAAUUUUUUUGGAUAAUCUUUAUGGCAUCUCCCUUUUUUAAUCUAUAUCGCUCUAUAGUUGAGACCAUAUCUCUGUGUAUCUCUCUGUGUUCCUUCAUUAUUUUGGUAUUAUGUUGGAAUUGAGUUGCUUUAAAAUGGAGUCGGAGGUUUUGAGUACUAAUGUCAUUUGAAAAUAUAGAACCUGUCAGUUGUCUUAUGGAGAUAUUGAAAGUUAGAAAAUAGUUAGCUUCUUCUUUGGGAUAACAAAUGAUUAGGAUUAUUUAUGUAUGGCAUAAUGAUAUUUUGAGCAGGUUAAACUUUUUGGGAUAGUCGUAAUUACAAAGGAGACUCUGCCGAAAAUUUUAAGAAUUUGGAGAGUUCAAAAUUUUUUGAGUUGUCAAAUUGGUUAUAGUAAGAGACUGGAGCAAGUCUUCAUCUCUUGUUAGCCUCUUUACUCUUCAAAUGGGUUGCUUGUAUUUUAGCUUGUUGUUCCUCUUACAUAAGGAAUUGUGACAGUAAAUAUAAUUCAACUUUGGUAGGUAAAUCAUCGAUAACGAAUCAAUUACCUUGUGAUUCAAAUGUCUCAAAAUUUUCUUUGUUUAAUCAUUUAUUGAUCGUCAUUUGUAGGUACAGGGAUUGCAGGUGAAAGCAGUGAUGAAGACCUUACAUGAGUGUUGUUGAUCGUUGCUAGACUUUCUUAUUAUGUUCUAGGGUAUUUUAUGUCACGCCCCGAGUCUGGGGGCGAGACCGGCACCCGGUGCCUCACCUAUCCUUGCGUACCACUUGCGACUAAGAGACUCUGAACAUGUAAUGUCAUACUUUGGCCAUGGGCCACAUUACAAGAUAAUGUGCGAUGCAAAAUAUAAAAUUGAAUAGAGACUAACGCUGACUAAAUGUCAACAUAAAGUUGGGCCGGCAAGGCUGCCAUAAUUACUACAAUUGACAAGCCAACAACAUAUACGUAGAGGGCCUACAAGCCCAACAUAUUGCACUAACUGACAAGAUAUGUCUACAAGCCUCUACUGAUGGAUGUACUGUGAUCGGAACAGGGUCCCGACCUACCCAUAACCUAUUUACAUAUAUACACAAGAUGUACACAAAACUUCUAGACCCGGCAACUCCGAAGGACGGUGAGCUUACCGAUAAAGCUGAACUCGGGCAACACAUACUGAGGAGGUCUACUCGUGUGUCUGUCUGAACCUGCACACAUGAAAUGCAACGCCCCCAGAAAGGAACGUUAGUAUGAAAUAAUGUACCGAGUAUGUAAGGA